rnacentral:misc_RNA from 1 species
AAGUCGUAACAAGGUUUCCGUAGGUGAACCUGCGGAAGGAUCAUUAACGUGCCGUGUCGCCCGGCCUCUAUCCGGGGCCGGAGCGCUCACCUGGCCACCCGUGUUUACUUACCUGUUGCUUCGGCGAGCCUGCGGGACUGCCCGCUGCCGGGGAACCUGGUUUCCGGGCUUGUUGCUCGCCGAAGACUAUUUCAAACUCUGGUUAAAGAUUGGUGUCUGAGUCGGUUAAACAAUCAGUUAAAACUUUCAACAACGGAUCUCUUGGUUCCCA